UGGGGAAUUUUGGACAAUGGGCGAAAGCCUGAUCCAGCAAUGCCGCGUGUGUGAAGAAGGCCUUCGGGUUGUAAAGCACUUUUGUCCGGAAAGAAAACCUCGUGGUUAAUACCCGUGGGGGAUGACGGUACCGGAAGAAUAAGCACCGGCUAACUACGUGCCAGCAGCCGCGGUAAUACGUAGGGUGCAAGCGUUAAUCGGAAUUACUGGGCGUAAAGCGUGCGCAGGCGGUUCGCUAAGACAGAUGUGAAAUCCCCGGGCUUAACCUGGGAACUGCAUUUGUGACUGGCGGGCUAGAGUAUGGCAGAGGGGGGUAGAAUUCCACGUGUAGCAGUGAAAUGCGUAGAGAUGUGGAGGAAUACCGAUGGCGAAGGCAGCCCCCUGGGCCAAUACUGACGCUCAUGCACGAAAGCGUGGGGAGCAAACAGGAUUAGAUACCCCCGUAGUCC
rnacentral:rRNA from 1 species